rnacentral:rRNA from 1 species
UCAGGAAANUCUGGAGUAAAAGGCUAUGGCUCAACCAUAGUGUGCUNUGGAAACUGUCUGACUUGAGUGCAGAAGGGGAGAGUGGAAUUCCAUGUGUAGCGGUGAAAUGCGUAGAUAUAUGGAGGAACACCAGUGGCGAAAGCGGCUCUCUGGUCUGUCACUGACGCUGAGGCUCGAAAGCGUGGGUAGCGAACAGGAUUAGAUACCCUGGUAGUCCACGCCGUAAACGAUGAGUGCUAGGUGUUAGGCCCUUUCCGGGGCUUAGUGCCGGAGCUAACGCAAUAAGCACUCCGCCUGGGGAGUACGACCGCAAGGUUGAAACUCAAAGGAAUUGACGGGGGCCCGCACAAGCGGUGGAGCAUGUGGUUUAAUUCGAAGCAACGCGAAGAACCUUACCAGGUCUUGACAUCCCGAUGCUAUUCUUAGAGAUAGGAAGUUACUUCGGUGCAUCGGAGACAGGUGGUGCAUGGUUGUCGUCAGCUCGUGUCGUGAGAUGUUGGGUUAAGUCCCGCAACGAGCGCAACCCUUAUUGUUAGUUGCCAUCAUUAAGUUGGGCACUCUAGCGAGACUGCCGGUAAUAAACCGGAGGAAGGUGGGGAUGACGUCAAAUCAUCAUGCCCCUUAUGACCUGGGCUACACACGUGCUACAAUGGUCGGUACAACUAGUUGCGAGCCGGUGACGGCAAGCUAAUCUCUGAAAGCCGAUCUCAGUUCGGAUUGGAGGCUGCAACUCGCCUCCAUGAAGUCGGAAUCGCUAGUAAUCGCGGAUCAGCACGCCGCGGUGAAUACGUUCCCGGGCCUUGUACACACCGCCCGUCACACCACGAGAGUUUGUAACACCCGAAGUCGGUGAGGUANCCUUUUAGGGGCCA